rnacentral:rRNA from 1 species
AACGAACGCAGGCGGCGUGCCUAAUACAUGCAAGUCGAACGGUCUUUUCUAUGGAAGCUUGCUUCCACUGAGAAGAUAGUGGCGAACGGGUGAGUAACACGUGGGUAACCCGCCCAUAAGAGGGGGAUAACAUCCGGAAACGGGUGCUAAUACCGCAUAGGCUUCUUGAUCGCAUGAUCGAGAAAGGAAAGACGGCCUUUGUGCUGUCGCUUAUUGAUGGACGCACGGCGUAUUAGUUAGUUGGUGAGGUAACGGCUCACCAAGACGAUGAUACGUAGCCGACCUGAGAGGGUGAUCGGCCACAUUGGGACUGAGACACGGCCCAAACUCCUACGGGAGGCAGCAGUAGGGAAUCUUCCGCAAUGGACGAAAGUCUGACGGAGCAACGCCGCGUGAGUGAGGAAGGUUUUCGGAUCGUAAAACUCUGUUGUCAGAGAAGAACAAGUCGGAGAGUAACUGCUCCGGCCUUGACGGUAUCUGACCAGAAAGCCACGGCUAACUACGUGCCAGCCGCCGCGGUAACAC